rnacentral:rRNA from 1 species
CCUACGGGAGGCAGCAGUAGGGAAUCUUCCACAAUGGGCGAAAGCCUGAUGGAGCAACGCCGCGUGGGUGAAGAAGGUCUUCGGAUCGUAAAACCCUGUUGUUAGAGAAGAAAGUGCGUGAGAGUACCUGUUCACGUUUCGACGGUAUCUGACCCGACAGCCACGGCUAACUACGUGCCAGCAGCUGCGGUCAUACGUUGGUGGCAAGCGUUAUCCGGAUUUAUUGGGCGUAAAGGGAACGCAGGCGGUCUUUUAAGUCUGAUGUGAACGCCGUCGGCUUAACCGGAGUAGUGCAUUGGAAACUGGGAGGCUUGAGUGCAGGAGGGGAGAGUGGAACUCCAAGUGUAGCGGUGAAAUGCGUAGAUAUAUGGAAGAACACCAGUGGCGAAAGCGGCUUGCUGGUCUGUAACUGACGCUGAGGUUCGAAAGCGUGGGGAGCAAACAGGAUUAGAUACCCGGGUAGUC